AGCCAAGCCUCAGGUUCACCUUCUCCCUCACCCUCUGCGCUGCUCGUGUGGCACAGCAGAUCCUGAAGCCAGAGGAGCACGUGUACAUAAGGGUAAAGAGAUUCCUUCUGUCACACCGGUAUUUGGACCUGAGAAAGGUACCAGGUUUUCUCCAGCUUUUCUACAGUUUUGAUUUUGAGUACAAAACAGCACGAGUGGAUCCUCAGAUUUCUUGGGGAAGGGCUG